UAUGUUAGGCCUUCCAACCUUUUCUAAUCUAUAAACAGAGAUCAUCCACUAAGACCACCGCUUCUGCCACCACCGGACCACCGCCAAAUAAAUCAGCGCCGUCACCCCACCCCCACCACGUCUGCUCCACAUCGAUAGCCUCUGACAUCACCUUUCCUAAACGGUGCGCUUUUAUCGCAAAGAGAAUACAAAAGCAGUGACCAAGAAGACCUGUGUUUGGUUACAGAGAAAGCAAGAGAAAAGAAAAUGGCGUUGAAUUCACAGAAAUGGGGUUAUGUAAGGAUCAUAACUGGCACAAUUCUUGGUGGGGUUCUUGGGUUCUAUGUUAUGCACCGGGUGGAAGUCAGCUACAAGGAAAAGAUGAAGGAGAGAUUGAGAGAGUAUGAAAAGGAAUUGAAGAAGAAAGAGGAGUUGAAACAGCUCGAGGAGUCCAUGUAGUUUUCCUUUCCUUUUCUUUUCUUUUUGGUUGCUGAGAAAAGGGUGGAAAGUGAAAGAAAAUAGAAGUAAUGUUCUACUCCAUCAAAGCAAUCUAAUUACAUGAACACUAAGAAGGUGAGAGAAUUAUGGAUUUGUUGUUGGUUUAGCAUAUUGGUUGAGCUUUUGACUUUACUUGAUAUGGAUUGUAGUUGAUCACCAAUAUUGGGAAAUUGUUGGCUUGUUUGCUGUCCAUUACAACUAGGUUGUCAGCAUCACUUUGAUGCUUCACUGGAACCUCUUAUACCAUUAUGGCUGAGUAGGUGCCAGUCCAGGGUUGAAAUAUCAGUCUGGAGUUUUGGAAAUUCUGUUAUCCAGUAAUUGAUACGCAGAAAACUCAUUGAUUUGAAUGUGUCUUGUUUUGAAUGUGUAGAGAACUCAUUGAUUAAUCUUGAAACUUUGUGUCAAUGGACUUUCUCACGGAUCAAUCUGCAUACCCAAUGAAGGUCCCAAGGAAAGAAUGUUCAUGGAUAGAGUUGGUUAACUUAUUGUUAUGCUUUCAAAUUUUCUCAGCAAUAGACUUGAUGGAUUAAUUUUCGUAGUGAUCUUUCCAACUUCU